CAGGGGGAAUGAUGCCCCCCAUUCCCACCAUGCCGAUCCCGUCCCACCACCACCACAUCGAACAGCAACAAGAACAACAGCAGGAGCCGCCACAACCACAGUACCACUACUAUAACCGACCCCAACCCCCCACCUCUUCUCCGAGCACUCCUGCCCCUCGAAUGACUCCCGCCCCCGUUCCCCCUGCCAGACCGGCCGCUGCUGUUCCCACCUCCACCCCUUACUCAGACAGAGCUGCUAAUGUGGCACCCCCUGUUAGUGGCGUCCACAGUCUGCCGGGGGUUCCCUCACUCCCAACUUCACCGGUUGUGGCGGGCUUACCUGUGAUGACAGGUGUGCCAGGAUUGGAGCAUACGAUACUGACGGAGCAGCAACAGGCCAUCAUCAACCAGCAAGCAAUCAUUCUGGCACAGCAGAUGACCAUGCAGGCCAUUGCAAUCCAGCAACAGAUGCUCUCCUCUUUCCCCCCUGUUGCUCCAGCUCCCCAGACACCUCCCUCUCACCAUCCCACCCAACC
rnacentral:lncRNA from 1 species